rnacentral:rRNA from 1 species
UGAAUGACUCCUGGCAAUGGAUAUCUUGGCUCUCGUGUCGAUGAAGAACGUAGCGGCAUUGCGACACUUGGUGUGAAUUGCAGAAUCCCGUGAACCAUCGAGUCUUUGAAUGCAAGUUGCGCACGAGGCCAUUAGGUCGAGUGCACGUCUGUUUGGGCGUCAUGU